rnacentral:lncRNA from 1 species
UUUCUGGAAUAAAAGUAAAAUUGUAUAAUUACUUCGGUAAGAACUCAUUAAAAGACUUCAGAUGACUAUGCGCUAAUAUAUUCAUGGCUAUAUAUGUAAAUAUUCGAUGAUUUCCACAUGCAUUUCCGCUGAAAGAUGGGUUUGUUUACAUGCAUAAAUGCUUGGAAAAAAUCCCGUAAUGGAACCCGAAUCUUUCCUUUCGUGAGUUUGGAGCCUUCAAACCUCCAAAAGUCAGAAGAAAAUAGAAUUAGAUACUCCUACAGAAUACGUUUCAGCGACCUAUUACCGACGUGGCGAAAUAAUAAGCUGCAGCCGAGGAAGGGAAAUUGGCCAAAACGAAAGAUACUAUGUCUAACACCGACUGCAAAAAGCAAAAGACAAAUGAUUCUACACAAUGGGCCUUUUACCAAGAAGAAGCAGCUAGGACUUCUAGAUACUGGCAAGCUAAUUUUGUAUUUUGAUGUUCUGUACAAUGCCUUUUUAAAUUGAUAAGUUGAAUUACUUAAAUUCAUUUGACCAUAUUUGAAGCAGAUGCUGUAUAUAAAAUGGUCAAAUACAAAUGCGAAUAUACAUAAAUUAAGGUUCUUAUUUAUGAGAAAAUACAAUGAUUAAAUUUGGAAAUACAAAUACAAAAUAUGUUUGACACCAUCCCUGGUUGAUACAGUAAUGUACAUGUCAUUGUAAAUAACAUGCACAUUCAAAAGCAUAUCAGAAGUACUAUAGUUUCUAAGAUUUAACAAUUACAUGUAUGAAACAACAAAAAUAGAAAGAAACAAGUUUUAAUUUUGGAGUAAUGUGUAUUUUUUAUAACUGCUUAAGCUGUCAAUGAGAACUUACAAGGAGCACAAAAGAAAUUAUAAUUUCUAAAUAUGGGUAUUUGCCAUAAAAAAUUAUAACUUCUGACAGAUCUUCCUUUUUAUUUAUAAUGUAUGCAUAUUAAUGUUAUGUACCAAAAUGGGGUAGGGAAACUUUGCCCAAAGUAGAAAAUUAUGCACAAAUCUUCCUUGUGUAUACUCCAGCUAUGGUGUAUAUGAGAAGUGGAUGAAAAUUAUAUACUAAAACAAAAUUACUUACGAAAUGAGUAAAAAAAAAAAUCUAUAGAUAUUUACCAAAAGAAAAAUGUUCCUUGGAUUUGUGCACAGCUUUAUUGUAUUUCAAAUUGUAUAACAAAAGUUUAAAUUAGAUUGAUUUUAUUUUUAGCUGGAGCACACACAUGUAGGAAAUAUACCAUUCUGAGGAUAACAUGGUUAGAUAUUGUCUGUAUUGCAUAUUCAUUUCCUAUCACUUCUUAGCGUAUAUACCUAAACACCAUAAAAUGUCCAUCCUUUGUCCUUUAUUGUUUGUUGCAUGAAGACAUGAUAUUUGGGAUGAGUUAAUUAAGAGAGAGAGAGAGAGAGAGAGA